UUUGGUGUCGAUGGCGGAGGGGAACCACACGUUCCCAUCUCGAACACGACCGUUAAGCCCUCCAGCGCCAAUGGUACUUGAACCGCAGGGUUCUGGGAGAGUAGGACGCCGCCAAGC
rnacentral:rRNA from 1 species